UACGGAGGGUGCAAGCGUUAUCCGGAUUCACUGGGUUUAAAGGGUGCGUAGGCGGGUUGGUAAGUCCGUGGGGAAAUCCCCAAGCUUAACUUGGGAACUGCCGUGGAUACUAUCAAUCUUGAAUAUCGUGGAGGUAAGCGGAAUAUGUCAUGUAGCGGUGAAAUGCUUAGAUAUGACAUAGAACACCAAUUGCGUAGGCAGCUUACUACACGAUCAUUGACGCUGAGGCACGAAAGCGUGGGGAGCAAACAGG
rnacentral:rRNA from 1 species